CCCCGCGGGAGGAGGCAGCCGCGCCGCACUGGUUGCAGGCGCCGUCGGGCCGGCGUCUUCCCAGAGCUCCUGUGUCACCUAAAGGGCAGCUAUGGAUCUCGAGGCGGAGGUAAAGAAGCAGGUGAACCCUUUCUACUGCAAUAUUUGCAAAAUCUGGUGUGCUUCCGCAUUAAACUUGCAGACUCACUUCCUUGGAUUCAAGCACAAGAAGGUUGAAGAAGCCCUGAAGGCUCAUGGCAUUGUUAAAACUGCGAGUGGUACAGGGGACCGAGUGAAAGCACCUCUGAAACUUCCUGGUUACGUGCAAGCUAAGCCAGAAAGGUAUCAUGGACAGACCUUGGAAGAACAGCUUAAUACAUGUAAAGAUUCAGAACCUGCACUUGGACUUAAUUAUAUAAUUGAAUAUCGAUCAAAAGAUAAUUUUCCUUUUCUCUAUGAGUGUCAACUGUGCCACUGUAAAACAGGACUGAGCAACAUGUUCAUGCAUGUUUGUGGCUCCAAGCACAGACUGGCAUACCUGAAACAACAUUAUCCUGAGAUAGCAGAAUCUGAUGAAGUUAAGGGUAAAGGCUCUGAACUGAACAGAAAAGUUAGGCAAGUUGCAUUAACAAUUGAGAAGAAGGAAGGAAGAAAACAAUUAAAGGUUAUUAUAGAAGCUCCAGUAAUCAGGAAAAGAUGGCAAGAAUAUCCUAAUGCAGAUGAUAGCCCAUCAAAAGCUAAAGUUCAGCAUGUGGAUACAUCACUUAGUAAUGAAGAAGGAAUGGACUGUAAAAAUAAGGAUGGAAAAUUGCCAGAUCCGAUUCAAGAAGAAAAGAAUGUUCAAGAGGAGCAGGAACAAUGUCAGAAAGAACAGACAAUACCAGAUGAGAAGGUUGGAACUAACACGGCUGUUGAAAGCACUAAAGGCAACCUCACCGAAGAAGGCAGCAGUUCUGAAAAAUGUGAGACCAGUAUACAACUGCAAGAAGAAAACGAGGAAGUUGAGCAAGCAUCUGCAGCAGCUGCUGAAGAAUUCACUAGUCAGGAAGAACUGCUGAGUUACCUGCAAAGUUUUGAGAUACUGAAUGAAGAUGAUGCUGCUUUUAUCCUAAAAGUCACACAGACUCUCACAGAUGCAUUGGUGGAAUAUCGUCAGCAAGCUGCAUCAAAAAAAGACCUCUUAGAUAAUGAAUGUAAUGGAGAAGAAGCAUUGGAACGUUCUACAGAACAAUCUGAGCUGACUUCGGCAGAUAUUAGUGAUUCUGAUACUGACAAUUCAAGCAGCCGAUCGGCUAAAAAGUCCUUAUCAAUAAAUGAGGAAGAUGAACUGCAAAACUUUUCAACUGGCUCUUUGGACACAGCAUAUGAGAACAACGUCACCGCUGAAUUUUUGAACAGCGUGAGAAAUAUGAAUGUUGAGGAAGUUACUGCUACUCUACACAAAAUAGCAGCUACAAAUCCAGCUUUCAGAGGUAUUUCAUGUAUACUUGAAGACACAAACAUGUAUGAGAAUGAAUGGAUAUUCCAAACGUUGUGAAGAUCCUGACUGAAAGUGGGACUCUGAGAAGACCAAGCAAUGGCAGCACACACUGACAUGGAUCCCAUUGGCCUCCUUGCCCACAAGGACAUACUGCUUGGCUCAUGGCCAGCUUGCUGUCCACCAGGACACCCAGCUCCUCUGUAGUGCUCCUCUCCACUGCUCUCCCCCAUCUUCCCAUCUACAUCAUAGAAAGGUACUAGAUUGGUCAAGCAUGAAUCUGUGUUGACUACUAAUAACCUUCUCUUCCACUACAGCAGUCAGCAGUACAAAUGCAUCCUACAGCAAACAGUCAAAUUAUCCCCUGUGGCUGCAAGGCCAUACUGAAAGGCUAUUGAAAUUAGGGGUAUCCUCCCAUAUAAAGAUUAUGAAUUGGUCUCCUGUUUUUCGAUAAAGAUUAAAAACUACAACAAAACAGUGCUGUCAGUUCAAUUCCGAGUUAGGUGCAUGGAUUAUAGGUAACUUUUGGAGAGGAGUUAACUGGAAGUGUUAGCAAGUCAACCUCUGCUGAGUUUGCUUGCAAAUUUGCGGAUAUAUUUCAAGAGAUGUAACCCGACUAUACUUACGAAAUGCUGACUUGGUAGUGAAAGAAUCUUUUGUCUUCUCUUAUUUUACCACUAUAAGCAUGAAGUGAAAGCUGGCUUAUACUGUCUUUCAAUUCAUGCUCUUUUAAAGUGAGGGUUUUUUUUGCUUUUUUUUUUUUUUAAACCUAUAGUUAUAGUUUUUUUUUUUUACUGUAUAUAGACAGAGAUUCUGUAUGUUAGCUGCUACUAAUUUUGUAGGGUGAUAGAAAAAUGUUUUGGAUGGUUACAGACUUAUGUUUGGGGAAAAGAAUUUAAAAAAAUUAAAUUGUGUGGGUCAAUUUUGCUUCCUGAGUAGCAUUCAUUGCUUCUAAUUAAAAUUCUUCAGCAUUGCAGUCAAAAGCUGGCAUGAUACAGACAUGGUGGAGCCAGAUCGCAAUGUUUUGUAUUGUUAACUUUUUUUAAUGUUAACUUACUGUUUUUGGACAUCUGGAUGAAAUUGAGAGUCCUCAUCUUUGUGUUUUCACAUCUUUGCAUCCUGGAAUGCAAGAUGCUAUGAAAAAUAAGGUAACAAAGAAAGCAGCAGUUAAGGUGUAUGGUUAGUUAGGAAUGAAAACAGUUCAUCGACAGUUAAAGAAAACACAAAACAAUUACUGCUUUAAAGUAAUAAUGAAAAAUCUCUGGAAUGCCUUUAAAUAUGUUCUCAUCAGAAACAGAGGUGGAAAUGUAGCUCUUGUUUUCACUAUAAUAGGGACAGUGUUCAUGUCUACUUGAUGAAGAUGUGCUUGAUCAGUAAAAGCAUCUUAGAAUUUACAUGGAAUACAAAUAAUUUCCUGAAGUAUCUGCAAUAAUAGCAGCUUCAUGUUUUUGUUUUCAUAGUGUGGAACAUUCUAUUAAUUAAAAUAAUAGACUAUUCAGCUAUUGUAAAUGGCCAUCUUUGGAAUAGCUUCUUUUUUCACUUGCUGUGAAAUCCUUCCUACUGGAAAUAAAAUUAAGGGGAAAUUCCUUGGAUUUAAGCAUUUCUUUUUCCUCAGGUCCAUUAAGCACAUGCUGAAAAUGGAAAGACUUCUGAAUCCAUAGCACACUGAUAUAGAAUGGUUUGAAUGAUGUGCUGCAGAGUGCCAGUACUUCUCAAAGACAAAAUAGCAAAUGCAAGAAUGACUAAGUGUAUUCUUCUGGAAAUGUUUUUGGAAAGAAUGUCUAACCUAGCACAUUCAGUUGUACAAUUAAUCUCUCUUUAAAGCUUUCUUUUCUGGUGCAAAUACAGGCUCUAAAAGAGCUAGAUUAUUUUGUUUGUUCUGUCUGCCUGCGUUUUGUGAUGGCUUGGUAUGUUCUCACACUAACGGAAAACUGUAUACCUAUUCCAAAAAUAGAACUGUAUACCUAUUCCAGAACCUAUUUUUAAUGAUAACAUCUAACUUGUGCCAGAAUUGUGUGGUUUAAAAGAGAAGGAAAAAAAAAGGCACUGUAUCAAUGAUACUUAAGGAAUGUUACUGACUGUAUAUGAUGUUAUACAUUGAUUGUUACAAUACCACUGAGACACAAGAAAAAUAACACCAAGUGGGAAUCGAUUUUUCUUUCAGCUUUAUGUUAGUUCACCAUAUUUUACUGAGGCAUCAGAGAGCUUUGGGGAAAUUGUCUUUAACAAAAUUGAAGAACAUCUCUUAGAAGGUAUAAACUGGAAAAGAGAAUGAUAUUCACAGGUGAACUGACAGGAAAUGGAAAAUUUUGACUGUGCAACAGAAGGCUUAGUAGGUAUAGGUUAUCAUGAGCUCUGUUACAGUUCUGGAAACGUUCUGCUCUUAUAGAAUAGAAUCAUUUAAGGUUGGAAAAGAAGUCCAACCACCAACCCAUCCCCAUCCUGCCCACUAAACCAUGAC